GACGAACGCUGGCGGCGUGCCUAACACAUGCAAGUCGAGCGAAUGAAGUUCCUUCGGGAAUGGAUUUAGCGGCGGACGGGUGAGUAACACGUGGGCAACCUGCCUCAUAGAGGGGAAUAGCCUCCCGAAAGGGAGAUUAAUACCGCAUAAGAUUGUAGUACCGCAUGAUACAGCAAUUAAAGGAGCAAUCCGCUAUGAGAUGGGCCCGCGGCGCAUUAGCUAGUUGGUGAGGUAAUGGCUCACCAAGGCGACGAUGCGUAGCCGACCUGAGAGGGUGAUCGGACACACUGGGACUGAGACACGGCCCAGACUCCUACGGGAAGCAGCAGUGGGGAAUAUUGCACAAUGGGGGAAACCCUGAUGCAGCAACGCCGCGUGAGUGAUGACGGCCUUCGGGUUGUAAAGCUCUGUCUUCAGGGACGAUAAUGACGGUACCUGAGGAGGAAGCCACGGCUAACUACGUG
rnacentral:rRNA from 1 species